rnacentral:rRNA from 1 species
UCGAGAAUCAUUCGCAAUGGGCGAAAGCCUGACGAUGCGACGCCGUGUGAGUGAAGAAGGCCUUCGGGUCGUAAAGCUCUUUCGCUUGGGAACAAGAGAGGCUGGCUAAUAACCAGUUAAUUUGAGCGUACCAGGUAAAGAAGCACCGGCUAACUCCGUGCCAGCAGCUGCGGUAAUACGGAGGGUGCAAGCAUUAAUCGGAUUUAUUGGGCGUAAAGGGCGCGUAGGCGGAAGUAUAAGUCAGACGUGAAAUCCCGGGGCUCAACCCCGGAACUGCAUUUGAAACUAUAUUUCUAGAGGGUAGGCGGAGAAAACGGAAUUCCACAAGUAGCGGUGAAAUGCGUAGAUAUGUGGAAGAACACCGGUGGCGAAGGCGGUUUUCUAGCUUACUCCUGACGCUGAGGCGCGAAAGCAAGGGGAUCAAACAG